AGUGAACGCUGGCGGUAUGCCUAACACAUGCAAGUCGAACGGCAGCACAGUAAGAGCUUGCUCUUACGGGUGGCGAGUGGCGGACGGGUGAGGAAUACAUCGGAAUCUACUUUUUCGUGGGGGAUAACGUAGGGAAACUUACGCUAAUACCGCAUACGACCUCCGGGUGAAAGCAGGGGAUCUUCGGACCUUGCGCGAUUGAAUGAGCCGAUGUCGGAUUAGCUAGUUGGCGGGGUAAAGGCCCACCAAGGCGACGAUCCGUAGCUGGUCUGAGAGGAUGAUCAGCCACACUGGAACUGAGACACGGUCCAGACUCCUACGGGAGGCAGCAGUGGGGAAUAUUGGACAAUGGGCGCAAGCCUGAUCCAGCAAUACCGCGUGGGGGAAGAAGGCCUUCGGGUUGUAAAGCGCUUUUGUUGGGAAAGAAAAGCAGCAGGUUAAUACCCCGCUGUUCUGACGGUACCCAAAGAAUAAGCACCGGCUAACUUCGUG
rnacentral:rRNA from 1 species